UACAGAGGUCCCGAGCGUUGUUCGGAUUCACUGGGCGUAAAGGGUGCGUAGGUGGUGAGGUAAGUCGGAUGUGAAAGCCCGGAGCUCAACUCCGGAACUGCCAUUGAAACUGUGAAACUUGAGGAUGAGAGAGGUGAGUGGAAUUCCCAGUGUAGAGGUGAAAUUCGUAGAUAUUGGGAAGAACACCGGUGGCGAAGGCGGCUCACUGGCUCAUUUCUGACGCUCAGGCGCGACAGCGUGGGGAUCAAACAGG
rnacentral:rRNA from 1 species